GCCGUCGUGUCAGAGUCUGGUUUAUCGUGCUUGUCUUGAAAACAAGUGAGUAUAAUGCUCCGAAGGUUCAAAUCCUUCCGGCGGCG
rnacentral:tRNA from 1 species